UGUUCGCUUCAUACUUUUUUUUUACGCUGAACUCCUCUCUUCUCCUACCUCUCGCCGCUCCAUAUUCUCUUCUUCUCAGUCAGGAAUGAAAUCUGAGAUAAACAUGUAACAAAGCAACAAGGCAAAGAGACAUCGUAGACCAUGGUUUGACUGUGGAGGCUGAAGUCUUUUUGGAUAUACUCAUUGAAGCUAUGAACAAAGGUCAAAGAUGUGAGAAUGGACAAUUCAAAGCACACAUUUUAUCCGGCUACUUAAUAUAUUAUUUGUGCUAUGUAAUAUAAUCCCCUCACUCAACCAACCGGCUCUUCCUCUUCCUCCCGCCCACGAAAACCCUAAUAACUCGUUUUCAUUUUAAUUUCCCACAAAAACCCAUAAAUUGAUGUGAGGAUUUGAUUCAAGCUCUCUGCUGGUUUUGAUUGAACCCUCUUCUUAACAAAACCUCAGGUUUCACUUAUUUUCUUCUUUCUCCUUUUCUUUUAACCCAUUUAGUUAUGUAGUUUCUGGUGUUAUUACUUUGUUUUUUUCUCUCAGAGGAUUCUUGAAGCUCUCUUAUAGUGAUUGAACCCACAAAUUGUACAAUGAUUGAAACCUCUUCUUAACAAAGCUCAGGUUUCUCUUCUUUGUUCUUUCACACGCAUCGUAUUAUGAUAUGCUUCAU